rnacentral:rRNA from 1 species
GUUUGAUCAUGGCUCAGAUUGAACGCUGGCGGCAGGCUUAACACAUGCAAGUCGAGCGGUAACAGGGGGUGCUUGCACCCUGCUGACGAGCGGCGGACGGGUGAGUAAUGCAUAGGAAACUGCCCAGUAGUGGGGGAUAGCCCGGGGAAACCCGGAUUAAUACCGCAUACGCCCUUUGGGGGAAAGCAGGGGAUCUUCGGACCUUGCGCUAUUGGAUGUGCCUAUGUCGGAUUAGCUAGUUGGUGGGGUAAGAGCCUACCAAGGCGACGAUCCGUAGCUGGUCUGAGAGGAUGAUCAGCCACAUCGGGACUGAGACA